AAUUAUUAGUACGGUCGUCGAUAGUAGUGCAUAUAGUACCUAAACAGACGCCAAAUAAAUACUCAACAAGCAGUUUGAUCAGAAGGCGUUUUCGUUUUACAGUAUUAACAAUAUGUCUUGGAAACAAAUACCGCCUUCGUCGUCUAAAUACCCACAACCAUCGUCUGGGCUCAAACCUAAAGAGCAGCCACCAAAAAUAUACGUGGAUAUGCGAAACGAUAGAUUCUCCGAGAACAAAAAAAUACUACGCGAUGGUCUCCCGACGGCGGAAAGGGUGAGAUCCAAUCAGCAAUUUGGAACCAAACAAAAAUUAAAAGAAAUAAACCCUUUAAACAAACCGUGAUUCAAAUUAAAAAAAUUUGUAAAUAGUAGUAGUACACGUGAAAAUAAUGUAAAUGUAUAUUAAAUAUUUUAAAUGUAACAACAGAAUAUAGUAAUAAGUUAAAAAAAAUUUAUAAAUUUAUCACAUCAUUCUUACCGAUUGUACGCCGUCACGUGAAAAAUAAAUUUACAAUGACAUUUUUUUUUUGUUUUUCUAUUGCAAAAUUCCUAUACGAACACAGAUAACAAUUACUUUUUAUUCAUUGUGAUGUUUUCAAAAUUAAUUAUUCCCAUUACGGACACCUCAGUGUUACUUAUACGGAUCAGAUUUGAUGAAGUGUA